GUGUGCAUAUGAUAAUGCAGUACUCUUUUCAGAAUGCUGGCGCUAAGUAUAAUGUUGUGUCCUUCAUAGAGUUUCCAGCUUUGGAUCCCAAUUUUUUCUUUGCUUCUCAGUGGAUCAGGAAGAGUGCAAUUUCAAAAAAGUCGGUUCACCCACUUCAUAACAAUGUUUUACUGAAUUCCACAGGCUGGGUUCGUAAAAGAGCAUAUGACGCUUGCAAUAAAAAUAUGGCCAUUUCCAACUUUUGCUAAUUGCGUAUGAUGAGAAACAAAAAGAAGUAAAGAGGCGCGAUGGUAGAACUGGGGAGCUUUCAAAUCAAGUUUACUGCAUUCAGAAGCGUGUAUUGCUUUAGUCGCUUUAACUUUGUUCCCACAAAAUAACCUUUCAGAGCAUGCUUGCACAUGCUUGUGUCUUUCCCUUGCUCACCGGCACAACACUCCUUUCUCCCAAAAAGUAGAGCACAUGAUUAGUUUCGUUUCUGAUCGAGCUCCAGCAUUCAUUGUAGUCUGAAUCAAGUAGUUGAAGAUAAAUGUAGCCUCCCCAUCCUCGAGGGAUUGGAUUCUGAAUUGUAAAAGAAAACCCCACCAGCUAGUGCUAUCAUAUUUUUAUUGUUGAAGAAGCCCAUCGUGAUCGCGUUGGAAAUGGAAGCCACCAAUAACAAAAGGGAAGAGCACCCAUGGCGUAGUGGAUGGGAUAGUGGGAAUAACAAUCAUGGCCGUACGGCCUCCCUCUGCUUUCAUUUGGAAUGCCAUACAAGUAAUUUGGCUCAUAAACUAUGAUUACAACUUAAAUGGCUAGCUUUUCAUCCUCCAAAGUAGUAAGAUUCAUGGACGGGAACCCAGAGUAGGGCCAAUCAGGGCUCGGGCAUCAACCUUCCGGAAAGAAAUGUGGGUGAAGUGAAAGAUCCUAACACGAUAGAGUAUCAAUAGAUUUGACCAAAGAAACGAAAAUAGGACUUCGAGUGCUGUGGUUUCGAGUAGAAAUGUGAUCAUAUCAUAUCCAAAAAA